AGCGAGUAGCCCUGAGUAGGUCGGGAACUAGUCUAGAAAACUAGGCCACUGCGAUGAGCGGUGAGGGUUCAACUCCUUUACUCGCUGCCA
rnacentral:tRNA from 1 species